GACAUGCAGUUUCUCUGUCACCGAAAGCGCACGUCAUGUCAGACAUGUAAUCUGCACCGCGAUUACUGUUAUGAUGACAACCUGUAGCAAUAACUAAAAACCUGUCUCACUUACUGAAAACCU